rnacentral:rRNA from 1 species
AUACGGAGGGUGCAAGCGUUAUUCGGAAUCACUGGGCGUAAAGGACGCGUAGGCGGGUUGGCAAGUCAGAUGUGAAAUCCUACAGCUUAACUGUAGAUCUGCAUUUGAAACUGCUAACCUAGAGUAUGGGAGGGGGAGAUGGAAUUAGUGGUGUAGGGGUAAAAUCCGUAGAUAUCACUAGGAAUACCGAAAGCGAAGGCGAUCUCCUGGAACAUAACUGACGCUAAGGCGUGAAAGCGUGGGGAGCAAACAGGAUUAGAAACCCGAGUAGUCC